GGAAAAGUCACUCUCUAACUCUAUACUUUUUCAACACCUUUUAACAUCAAGCAUCAACUACCUUGAAGAACAUUUUAUAAUUAAUGUCACAUCCAUGGGCCAAUCAGACAUCAUCUUCUAUCUCAUACUUAUUCUCUCCUUCGUGGCCAAGAGUAAAUUCUUCAGUUUCACCGUUUUCCUCAAAAGCUUUUCAUCCACAUUCCACCAAAGCCUCACUCUUCAGAAGCCUUAUCAAACGACCCGUAAAUUGCAUCAAGCUUGUGGAAAGCACCCUUGGUCCAGAUUACAAACCUACCCAAAUGACCUCCGGGGGCAAGCUUCAACAAGUUGAGCCUAUCAACAUGGCAGAUUUCGACACCGGGAAGGUUCCUGAAUGCCUUCACAAGCUUAGCACCCUCAGUCGCGUAGACGAUUGUUCCAUAAGUUAACAUUUACUUUUAAAAACCCAUGCUGGGAAAACUUUGAGCUUCUUGGUUUAAAAGUUGAUCUUUAUUUCUUAGAGUAUCCUAUUAGAUGGAUGGAGCUUUGUAACUUUCAAGUUUUUUUUCCCCGUAACUACAAUGUUUGGUAGCUAGUACAAAAAAGUUCAGUUCGCAAUUGUUGUUCUGAUCUAGUGAAUUGAGUUUGUGAAAUGAAAGAUCAGAUCAGAAGCAUCAGAUCAGAAGCAUUCUUGUGAACUGAUCUGCUUCGGAUCUGAUCUUUCAUUUCACAAACUCUGUUGCUGCUUCUGAUCUGUUCUUUCAUUUCUGUUGCGAGAAGAUCAAAACACUCACAACUGAUAUGCUGCUUCUUGUGCUGAACUAUAGACUAUUACAUACUGAUAAUUUCUUGUACUGAUCUGCUGUGCUGAUCAGUUCACCAGAUCAGAACAGCAGUUGUGAACUGAUCUGCUGUGAACUGAUGCUGCAGAUUUGUUGUGAACUGAUGUUGCAGAUUUGUUGCGUGCAGAUCACAAGCAGCAGCAGAUCAGAACAUCAGUUGUGAAACUGAUCUGCUGCUGCUUCUAAUCUGAUGCUGCAGAUCUGUUGCGAGUAGAUCAGAAGCAGCAGCAAUUAGAUCAGAAGUUGUGAAUCUGAUCUGCUACUUCCAAUCUGUUGUUCGAGCCAAAAGUUGUUGCGCACUGUAGUAGAGUGUGUUGAAGAAAUCAAAUGGAAGUAGAUCAAGACCCCCUCUAUGGAAUCAGUGAAGUGUGCACAACAAACAGGAAAUACGGAGUGCGGCUACUACGUGAUGAAGUACAUGUACGAUAUAGUUAAAGUUGUACGGAUGUCAAGGAUCUCGAAGAGGUAUUCAGUAACCCGAGGGAGCGGCCUUUCACCUUUGAGAAGAUAUAUGAAGUUCGAGAAAUGUUAGCAAUCUUCAUUAUCAGUGAUUGUCUUUGAUAUUUUCUUGUACUGAAUCUUAAAUUAUGGAUGCUAGUUUUUCAUAUGAUUUUAAUGUAAUCGACUUUUAUAUUUACAAUUAUAUAAUAUUUAAUUUAAUUA